GAGCAUGUGAGGUGUCUGGUGUUUUUAUUUGGGCUACCAUGGUAACAGGUUAGAGCUUACACACGCCUGCGUGACACGCAUGUCUCAGAAAUUGCACACGCAAGCCUGCUCAAAUACAACCUACG